rnacentral:rRNA from 1 species
UGGGGAAUAUUGCGCAAUGGGCGAAAGCCUGACGCAGCGACGCCGCGUGAGGGAUGAAGGUUUUCGGAUCGUAAACCUCUGUCAGAAGGGAAGAAACCGCACUGUGCUAAUCAGCAGUGCCUUGACGGUACCUUCAAAGGAAGCACCGGCUAACUCCGUGCCAGCAGCCGCGGUAAUACCGAGGGUGCAAGCGUUAAUCGGAAUUACUGGGCGUAAAGCGCACGUAGGCUGCUUUGUAAGUCAGGGGUGAAAUCCCACGGCUCAACCGUGGAACUGCCUUUGAUACUGCUUAGCUUGAAUCCGGGAGAGGGUGGCGGAAUUCCAGGUGUAGGAGUGAAAUCCGUAGAUAUCUGGAGGAACAUCAGUGGCGAAGGCGGCCACCUGGACCGGUAUUGACGCUGAGGUGCGAAAGCGUGGGGAGCAAACAGG